ensembl:lncRNA
GCUGGAAAUGCCUGCCUUGUCCUGCUCUUGGUCUCACCUCCACAAUGUAGGAGUCAAAUGAAAUCACAAGCAGAUUAGGAAAAUGGUCCAGCAAGAAUAAAUUUCAGUUUCCUGAAGGGUUAGCGAGUUUAACCUGCUAACAGAAAGGCAAGGUCUGGACACAACACAGCAAAGUGAGACUGCACCAUCUGAGGCAAAACAGAGAAGAAAAGGAGGGGGAAAAGAGCAUUGCUGCUCAAACAGCAAGGAGGUAACUCCACCACAAAAACCAGCCUUCUGUAGAACCAUACCCUGCACCUUGGUUUCAACAGGACAUCAAUUCACAGAUCUGAUUAGUUCAGUUCAGGCAGCUGAAUGGAUUGGUACCACCAGGAUCUCUCACACCUCCCCAGAGAGGUGGCUUCCCACAUUGGGGUGGCUAUGCAAGAUAAGGAGCAGCUCUUCCACUGCCAGAGCUUAAGUCUUGUCUGCUACAGUAAAGAAAUCCACCCAUUCCGAGUCCUAGCACAGUAGUAGGCUGGAAACUCUGGAGCUGCUUUAUGUGGGACCAGGAACUUCUGAGAAGAUGGGGUCAACAGCUGAGGUACUCACAUGAACCCACAUUUACCCCACCUUGCUCACAAGCCAGCGCCCAAAGGCCCCUAAAUAUCCCUUGCUCUAUAGACCAAGUGCUUCCCAGGGUCCCUGGGCUGUAGAAGUGAGCAACACCAAAACCAUACACCCUUUCAGCAACCAGGACACCCAAAAACUGGUAUCUGGCCAAAGAGUCACGUGUGAAUAACAAAACAGCUUUAUGACUAUAAAUUUGUUCCUUUCUGGAAGGCGAAGAGGUUUUCAGCUUGCAAAAAAUGCAACUAUGUCAUGAAAGAAAUUUAAUUAAAUCUUCCAAGGAUUUCACAUCACAAAAGAAAGCACAACUUAUCUGAGAUUUUAUAGCCUGUAUAAGACUAGCUGCUUAGACAGUUUAUUUGUAAUUGCCUUGCCAAAGCUCACUCAAGUUGGAUUCCACUGAGGUCAGUUUCCAAAGUUUUUCUUCUAGAAGAGUUGUAAUAAAUAUUUUAACUUGGAAAUUGAAAGAAAGAAGACCACCCUACAAAAGAUUCCCGUUGUAUGUUUCACAAACAAAUUAGCUGACAGAUUUCUCCAGGGGCAUUACAAGACCUGGUAAUUUUCAAAUUCAAAGAGCUGGAAGGAAUUAUAUGAAAAACUGUGUCACAAAUCUGCAUGAAGUUACUUUAGUAAGACAGAGUAAUAGAACAUCCCCAAUUUUAAACAGUUCUACUUGAAUAAUCAGGCAAGAAUCUACUAGAAAACAUUUUUCCUAAAGCUUAGAGGACAUAAAACACAAUAUUAAUAGUAAUCUGUACUUCAGAACAGUAUUAAUGUGAUUCUCUUUUUUUAGAGGGUCUUAGUUCCCAUAACUGGAUAAACAUGGCUAUGAAUAUUAAGUCCUUUCUUCAAAGUCGCAUUAUCUUAAAUUUUAAACAACCACAACAGCCAAAUACUUGCCCGUUAUAAAUUCCCUCUUUUCUGAACGUCAGCAUCUGAAUUCUAAAAUUGCCCAACACAACUGCAAAAUAUUUUGCUAACCAACACCAAUCCCCAACGCUUAUUUGGUUAAAAAGAAAAUAAAAUAAAUCUUAGUUAAUUUAAAGUUCAUUCUCAAUGUGGUUUUCAAAUCUGUCAAAACACGCACAAGG